rnacentral:rRNA from 1 species
GGACCCCUACGGGGGGCAGCAGUGAGGAAUAUUGGUCAAUGGGCGAGAGCCUGAACCAGCCAAGUCGCGGGAGGGAAGACGGUCCUAUGGAUUGUAAACCUCUUUUGUCGGGGAGCAAAAAGGCCUCGUGAGGCCACAAGUGAGAGUACCCGAAGAAAAAGCAUCGGCUAACUCCGUGCCAGCAGCCGCGGUAAUAAGGAGGAUGCGAGCGUUAUCCGGAAUUAUUGGGUUUAAAGGGUGCGUAGGCGGACUGUUAAGUCAGCGGUAAA